GUCCGUGUUAAAGGAAAGGGCAGGCUGUCUUCUUCUUGUCAGGCUUGUCCCUGACAGUUUGGCCAUGUUUUAGUUUUUCCUCUGUGUUUGUCUUUGUUUCCUGUCAGCGCUCUUAUUUUGUCCGUUUCCUGUUUGUCUCCCUGAGUGCUGUGUCUCCCCAGCUGUGGCUGAUUGGCACCUGGCCACACCUGGUGUCAAUCAACCAGAUACUAUUUAAAGCUGCCUUUCCCUCCAGUCAGUGCUGCAUUGUUGUCACCACUACCUGUCAAUGUCAUUAAUACUUAUCGUUGAAGCUGUGUCUACUCUUGUUCACUCUGCUCAUGCCAUAGUUCCUUCGUGUCACAGCGGACCUGACUUCAAGCUCUUCACUCAGCACAGACAUCGUAAUGUCAUCAAAGUUCACCUUUAAAGCAUUCACACACAGCACCAGCAUUUUGGAAGAAGGAUGAAGUGACGGACUAAAGAAAACCAGGAAAUGGGGUUGUGGAGAGGCGGAGACGACGGGCCGUCCGCGGGGAAGGGCACGCUGUAGUUCUGCUCAAGAUGGCGGCAAGGAGGCGGAGAAUGCGGCGGAACGGAGAGGCGUAUAUAAAAGGGGAGAAGGAGGAAUGAUAAAGUAAGAAGGUGGAGUGUCCGCAGCAGAUGCAGCGACAGAGAACAGUACACGAGAGACAACGACGCGGCCGGCCGAAAGAGCGAGCAGCGGAGAGGAGCUGAAAGAGCGAUCCAAGCUGCCGAAAAAAACUUUAUUGAAAAAUAAAGAGUCAAACCUGUGCUGAAAAGCAAUGUCCUUCCUGGGUGGUCCACUGAACCCGAGCGACGACAGCGAGAGACUGUCACAGGGAUAAAAUUGCUA